GGCCACCUGGUGCUGAUGACAGGAUAUGUUCUUUAUACUAUUCUUUAUAGAAAGAGGAGGGACAGCAAACUUACUCCAUAUAUACCUCAGCCUCUUGGCUGGUCUGUGUUGUGAAUGGAGGUUACACAG
ensembl:snoRNA